ncrna:unclassified sequences pemK RNA
AUAAUGAUACUUCCGUCCGGUCGAAAGUCGAGCGUGAUAAAACCGUCGCAGCAUACGAGGGCGGCUCCGGGAGAUCCUCAGGGUGGUGAGAUUCCAAUGA